AACGAACGCUGGCGGCAUGCCUAACACAUGCAAGUCGAACGAGACCUUCGGGUCUAGUGGCGCACGGGUGCGUAACGCGUGGGAACCUGCCCUUAGGUUCGGAAUAACUCCCCGAAAGGGGUGCUAAUACCGGAUAAUGUCUUCGGACCAAAGAUUUAUCGCCUUUGGAUGGGCCCGCGUUGGAUUAGCUAGUUGGUAGGGUAAAAGCCUACCAAGGCGACGAUCCAUAGCUGGUCUGAGGAUGAUCAGCCACACUGGGACUGAGACACGGCCCAGACUCCUACGGGAGGCAGCAGUGGGGAAUAUUGGACAAUGGGCGAAAGCCUGAUCCAGCAAUGCCGCGUGAGUGAUGAAGGCCUUAGGGUUGUAAAGCUCUUUUACCCGGGAUGAUAAUGACAGUACCGGGAGAAUAGGCUCCGGCUAACUCCGUG
rnacentral:rRNA from 1 species